rnacentral:rRNA from 1 species
AAAACAAAGAGUUUGAUCGUGGCUCAGGACGAACGCUGGCGGCGUGCUUAACACAUGCAAGUCGAACGAUGAACCACUUCGGUGGGGAUUAGUGGCGAACGGGUGAGUAACACGUGAGUAACCUGCCCUGGACUCUGGGAUAACCCCGAGAAAUCGGAGCUAAUACCGGAUAGGACCUGGAACCGCAUGGUUUUGGGUGGAAAGUUUUUCGGUCUGGGAUGGACUCGCGGCCUAUCAGCUUGUUGGUGAGGUAAUGGCUCACCAAGGCGUCGACGGGUAGCCGGCCUGAGAGGGUGACCGGCCACACUGGGACUGAGACACGGGCCCAGACUCCUACGGGAGGCAGCAGUGGGGAAUCUUGCGCAAUGGGCGAAAGCCUGACGCAGCGACGCCGCGUGGGGGGAAGAAGGCCUUCGGGUUGUAAACCUCUUUUCAGCAGGGACGAAGCCACUCGGGUUAAUAGCCCAGAGGGUGACGGUACCUGCAGAAGAAGCCCCGGCUAACUACGUGCCAGCCGCCGCUGUAAG